rnacentral:rRNA from 1 species
AUUGAACGCUGGCGGCAUGCCUUACACAUGCAAGUCGAACGGCAGCACGGGAGCAAUCCUGGUGGCGAGUGGCGAACGGGUGAGUAAAGUAUCGGAACGUGCCCAGUCGUGGGGGAUAACGUAGCGAAAGUUACGCUAAUACCGCAUACGAUCUAUGGAUGAAAGCGGGGGAUCGCAAGACCUCGCGCGAUUGGAGCGGCCGAUAUCAGAUGAGGUAGUUGGCGGGGUAAAGGCUAACCAAGCCGACGAUCUGUAGCUGGUCUGAGAGGACGACCAGCCACACUGGGACUGAGACACGGCCCAGACUCCUACGGGAGGCAGCAGUGGGGAAUUUUGGACAAUGGGCGAAAGCCUGAUCCAGCCAUGCCGCGUGCAGGAUGAAGGCCUUCGGGUUGUAAACUGCUUUUGUACGGAACGAAAAGGUUUGGCCUAAUAAGCUGAGCUCAUGACGGUACCGUAAGAAUAAGCACCGGCUAACUACGUGCCAGCCGCCGCCGUAA